AACACGUGCGCGAGUCGAAGGGCUCGAUCGAAACCCCGGAGGCGCAAUGAAAGUGUGCGGUGCGUGCGCGGCCGGGUCCAGGCGCCCCGUCGUCGUCCGCGGGCCGCGUUUCGCGCGGUGCGGGCGCGUCGCUCGGUCGGCCGCGGUUGCUUUCCCCGGGUUCUCCCGGGGGGGUGCCGCGUCGUCCGUGUCGGCGCGCUUUAGAGCCGCGCGAGGCCGAACCCGCGCCGGCAGGGGCGUCCCUCGCGCCCGCGCUCGUUCCACCGUGGGGCGGGAUCCUCGCCGCCGUGGCAGGGGCGAGGCGCACCGCCGGCCCGUCCUACGCUCUCCGUCCGGCGCGAGCCGGCGGAGGCGGACGGAGCCACAACGUACUUGUUGGUACCCGAAAGAUGGUGAGCUACGCCCGGGCAGGGCGAAGCCAGGGGAAACCCUGGUGGAGGCCCGCAGCGGUUCUGACGUGCAAAUCGAUCGUACGACCCGGGCGUAGGGGCGAAAGGACCAAUCGAACCAUCUAGUAAUCUGGUUUCCCU
rnacentral:rRNA from 1 species